AGUGAACGCUGGCGGUAGGCCUAACACAUGCCAGUCGAACGGCAGCACAGUAAGAGCUUGCUCUUACGGGUGGCGAGUGGCGGACGGGUGAGGAAUACAUCGGAAUCUACUUUUUCGUGGGGGAUAACGUAGGGAAACUUACGCUAAUACCGCAUACGACCUACGGGUGAAAGCAGGGGAUCUUCGGACCUUGCGCGAUUGAAUGAGCCGAUGUCGGAUUAGCUAGUUGGCGGGGUAAAGGCCCACCAAGGCGACGAUCCGUAGCUGGUCUGAGAGGAUGAUCAGCCACACUGGAACUGAGACACGGUCCAGACUCCUACGGGAGGCAGCAGUGGGGAAUAUUGGACAAUGGGCGCAAGCCUGAUCCAGCCAUACCGCGUGGGUGAAGAAGGCCUUCGGGUUGUAAAGCCCUUUUGUUGGGAAAGAAAAACAGCAGGUUAAUACCCCGCUGUUCUGACGGUACCCAAAGAAUAAGCACCGGCUAACUUCGUG
rnacentral:rRNA from 1 species